rnacentral:rRNA from 1 species
UACGUAGGGUGCGAGCGUUGUCCGGAAUUAUUGGGCGUAAAGAGCUCGUAGGCGGUGUGUCACGUCGGCCGUGAAAACCUGCAGCUUAACUGUGGGCGUGCGGUCGAUACGGGCAUCACUGGAGUUCGGCAGGGGAGACUGGAAUUCCUGGUGUAGCGGUGAAAUGCACAGAUAUCAGGAGGAACACCGGUGGCGAAGGCGGGUCUCUGGGCCGAUACUGACGCUGAGGAGCGAAAGCGUGGGGAGCGAACAGG